rnacentral:rRNA from 1 species
AUUGUUGGCCGGUAUGAAUGGCGUCACGAAGGCCCCACUGUCUUAAGAGGACUCUCCAUGAAAUUGAAUUCGUAGUGAAGAUGCUACGUCCAUAUUGUAAGACGAAAAGACCCCAUUGAGCUUUACUAAAGACUUGCAUGGCUCAAAAUAAUUUGAUUUAAAUAAAGAGUUUAGAUAAUGUGGGAUCCGUUUCCGGUUAAUGAAACACCACUCUUUUAUUUUAAGAGAGCUAACAUUACAGGGAUAGUGUAAGUUGGAUAGUUUGGUUGGGGCGACCACCUUUUAAAAGGUAACGAAGGUGAGCUUAAGGUCCGUAGUUAAUAGCCGGUGGCCUGACUGCAAGGGGGACGUCUCGAGCAGACACGUCCUUAGGGAUGUGGACUAUAGUGACCCGUCAUCUUAGU